GAGUUUGAUCGUGGCUCAGGAUGAACGCUGGCGGUGUGCUUAACACAUGCAAGUCGAGCGGAGAUAAAUUGAAAGCUUGCUUUUAAUUUAUCUUAGCGGCGGACGGGUGAGUAACGUGUGGGCAACCUGCCUCAUACAGAGGGAUAAUCAUGUGAAAACGUGACUAAUACCGCAUGUCGUUUCGGGAGGGCAUCCUCCUGAAAGAAAGGAGUAAUCCGGUAUGAGAUGGGCCCGCAUCUGAUUAGCUAGUUGGUGAGAUAACAGCCCACCAAGGCGACGAUCAGUAGCCGACCUGAGAGGGUGAUCGGCCACAUUGGGACUGAGACACGGCCCAAACUCCUACGGGAGGCAGCAGUGGGGAAUAUUGCACAAUGGGGGAAACCCUGAUGCAGCAACGCCG
rnacentral:rRNA from 1 species